rnacentral:rRNA from 1 species
GACGUAGGGCGCGAGCGUUGUCCGGAUUUAUUGGGCGUAAAGAGCGUGUAGGCGGCCAGAUAGGUCAGCUGUGAAAACUCGAGGCUCAACCUCGAGAUGUCGGCUGAAACCAUCUGGCUAGAGUCCGGAAGAGGAGAAUGGAAUUCCCGGUGUAGCGGUGAAAUGCGCAGAUAUCGGGAAGAACACCCGUGGCGAAGGCGGUUCUCUGGGACGGUACUGACGCUGAGACGCGAAAGCGUGGGGAGCGAACAGG